rnacentral:rRNA from 1 species
AACGAACGCUGGCGGCAGGCCUAACACAUGCAAGUCGAGCGCCCGCAAGGGAGCGGCGGACGGGUGAGUAACGCGUGGGAACGUGCCCUUUGCUACGGAAUAGCCUCGGGAAACUGAGAGUAAUACCGUAUGUGCCCUUCGGGGGAAAGAUUUAUCGGCAAAGGAUCGGCCCGCGUUGGAUUAGGUAGUUGGUGGGGUAAUGGCCUACCAAGCCGACGAUCCAUAGCUGGUUUGAGAGGAUGAUCAGCCACACUGGGACUGAGAAACGGCCCAGACUCCUACGGGAUGCAGCAGUGGGGAAUCUUAGACAGUGGGCGCAAGCUUGAUCUAGCCAUGCCGCGUGAGCGAUGAAGGCCUUAGGGUUGUAAAGCUCUUUCGUGGGGGAAGAUAAUGACGGUACCCCAAGAAGAAGCCCCGGCUAACUCCGUGCCAGCCGCCGCGGUAACAC